GACGAACGCUGGCGGCGUGCCCAACACAUGCAAGUCGAACGAGGUCCAUCCUUCGGGAGAAGACCUAGUGGCGAACGGGUGAGUAACACGUGAGGAACCUGCCCCGAAGACCGGGAUAACCCUCCGAAAGGAGAGCUAAUACCGGAUACCCCCACCGAACCGCAUGGUUUGGUGAGGAAAUGGAUUCCGCUUCGGGAGGGCCUCGCGGCCUAUCAGCUAGUUGGUGGGGUAACGGCCCACCAAGGCAUCGACGGGUAGCUGGUCUGAGAGGACGAUCAGCCACACUGGGACUGAGACACGGCCCAGACUCCUACGGGAGGCAGCAGUGGGGAAGUCUUGCGCAAUGGGCGAAAGCCUGACGCAGCAACGCCGCGUGGGGGAUGAAGGUCUUCGGAUUGUAAACUCCUGUCGACCGGGACGAAUGCACUCGACCUAAUACGUCGGAAUGUUGACGGUACCGGUGGAGGAAGCCACGGCUAACUCUGUGCCAGC
rnacentral:rRNA from 1 species